UACGAAGGGGGCUAGCGUUGUUCGGAAUUACUGGCGUAAAGCGCACGUAGGCGGCUUUGUAAGUUAGAGGUGAAAGCCUGGAGCUCAACUCCAGAAUUGCCUUUAAGACUGCAUCGCUUGAAUCAUGGAGAGGCGGGUGGAAUUCCGAGUGUAGAGGUGAAAUUCGUAGAUAUUCGGAAGAACACCAGUGGCGAAGGCGGCCCGCUGGACAUGUAUUGACGCUGAGGCGGCGAAAAGCGUGGGGA
rnacentral:rRNA from 1 species